AUCUGAACAUUUAGCAAUGCUCUCCAAGAUUACAGGAGGAAAACGUGGCACUUAGCUGGCAAUGUUGCCCCAACAUUGUUUUAAAAAUGAUUUAUAACGGCUGAGUUGUUUACUGAGUCUAGAAAACCAAUGCAGCAAAUUUAGGUGGGAGAAGCUACAAGGGAUAGAAUUAACCCUUUUGGUCUCAGAUUAGGUACAUCUCUUGUGGGACUAUGGCUAACAAAAGCUGAUACUG
ensembl:lincRNA